CUUCAGUAACAGAGGAAGGAAAACAUCGAAAGCAUUUACCACCUCAUUUGUGUGCUGGAGAAAAAGCAGAAGAGCACAUUUUGUGUGUAAGAUGAUUCCUUGUGCAAAGUGGAUUAGUGGUAAUCGAAACUGCAGUCGCCUGGUUGGGAGAGGGGAUGACAGAAGGUCCUUCUCCGGGAUCCUCACUGUGAAUGCCCCUUGCCUGAACUUCCUUUUUUACUUUUUUCUGAGAGUCCUGGAAUUCCGAUUGCUUUUUGCCCACCCUGUGUGCCAGGAUCUAGAAGUGAGUCACUUCCUUUUUCAGGCAUGAUCACAAUUCGGUUGUGAGUCAGUGGGGUGUGGGGUGUGGGGUGUAUUGUAGAGGCAACUCUGAGGGAGAUAUCCUGUUUGGCUCAGUAGCUGGGCGAUGCAUUUAUCAGUCUGUGUUCUGAUAGCAGUAGAUUCCAAAGCUCAGCUCAUUCACUUCUCUUGAAUGAAUGAGCUCUCCACUGGGGCCACCUCCAGCCUGGCCUCCUUGUAGUUCAAUUACCAAGUUCUGUUGAUGCUUGUCAACACUCUUUGUAUUUCUAUCUUUAUCAUCUGUAGCCUCCUUGUGGCCCCUCCUAAUCUCACCUGACUGGUUUCCUAACCUCUGGCAGGAACCUUGGACACGAUCUUUGAAGACUUAAGAGUUUCCGUUUUGAAACUGAGGUGUAAUUGACAUACUAUAAAAUGGACAGAUAAGUAAAGAGUUCAGUGAGUUGUGAUAAACAUCUACUUCUAUGUAACCACCUCUCAUUAGGAUCUAGAGAAUUUCUCGCCUCCCAGAAAGUUCCCGGAAAGCCAUUUACGCCCGAGCCUGUGUGUCUGAGCACCUCACCACACUGCCUCUCAGGGAGUCUACACAAAAGUGCUGGGUGAACCAUCAAAGUAGAAAUGGAUGAAGGGAUACAUUAUUCUUCCAUGCAUCCCUUUACCAGAAAUGCCAAAUCAGGUUUCUCCAUCCGUGCAUGCAUAUUUGAGAACUCAAAUACAUACAUAUACACAUGUACACAUAAAUACAUAAGUAAGUAAGUAGCUGUUUUUUUUUUUGUUUGUUUGUUUUGUGCGGUACGCGGGCCUCUCACUGUUGUGGCCUCUCCCGUUGGGGAGCACAGGCUCCGGACGUGCAGGCUCAGCGGCCAUGGCUCACGGGCCCAGCCGCUCCGCGGCAUGUGGGAUCUUCCCGGACCGGGGCACGAACCCGCAGCCCCUGCAUCAACAGGCGGACUCGCAACCACUGCGCCCCCAGGGAAGCCCCAGUAGCUGUUUUUUAAAGAAUAACUUACAAGGAAAAGCAACCCAAACGUUAGUUUCAUUGUGCUCCAUAGACUCCAGGGCAGUGAAAGAUGAUCUUUUUGCAAGGUUCUCCAAAAGUCCUAAAAAUGCAGAACAUUCCUUGACAGCUGGAAUCAGGCCAUGGAAAGUCAUCCACCAUCAUCUUACCUUUUCCUGGCAUCCUGUGGCUGCAGUAAAAGGUUUCCUCCCUCUUGUAUAAAUGUAAUACACUCAUCUGGGUAGUGGAACAGUUUACCAAAGGAAGCCAGAGGAGAGUGAUAAAGUACAGCAUAUGGUGUCCCAUUUCUCCAGGAAGGUGGUUUUCAAACUGGGUCCCAGAGCCCCUGACCCCCAUAGCCCUCAACCCAGACUCAAGAUCGGGUUCAAGGCUGAGUGAAAUGUUCAAGGGCCUCCAGAGGUCUCUGGCCUUGUCAACCCCCAUUGGAAUGGCCAAAGCCACCAAGAGCCGACAAAAAGGGAGGUUUAUUGAAUCAGGGGAAUUAGGGCUAAUGCCAGGGAUAGGCACUGACUGAUAUCUUAGUUCUUUCACUUAAUCAUUUUCUUCCUUUAUUUAAAAAAAGAAAAAAAAUCUCAAGAAUAAAGCAUUCUUAGAAGAAAACCAAAGAACCUGAAGUGAAUUAAAGAAGGCCCCUUGCCACUAUUUCCUAUGCAGAAGCACAGAUAAGACUUUGUUUCUUCCAAAAAUAGGAUCACACUGAAAACUGUUCCAAACUCUUCUGCCCCUUGCUUUUUUCCCCAUUUAGCAAAACACUGUGGACAGCUUUCCACAGUGUCACAACGUAGGAUGAUUGACAUCACCUUUUUCAGUGCCUCUAAAGAACCUGCAUUAUUAGGUAUCGAUUUUGCAUGUGUGGCUACAUAUUUACAUUUGAAUAUAGGCAUACCUUCUUAAGUUAGGUUAUGUAUUAAUGACCUAUUGCAUAUCAAAUUACCCCAAAACUUAGUGGCUGAAAACAAUACACAUUUGUUAUCUCCAAGUUUCUGUGGGUCAGGAAUUUGGAAGCAGCAUAGCCAGAUGGUUCUGGCUCAGGAUCUCACAUGAAGUUGCCAUCUAGAUACCCCAGGAAAAAAUAUAUUUGCAGGGGCUGCAGUCAUCUGAGGGCUCAAUGGGGGCUGAAGGUUCCCUUCCAAGAUGGUGUCCUCAGUGGCUUUUCACAGAAGGCCUCAGGCACUCACUGCAUGGAGCACCUCAGCGUGUGCAAAGGGCUUCCCCCAGAGUAAGCAAUCCAAGAGAUUCUGGUGGAGGCUGCAGUGGCUUCAUGAUGUAGGGUCAGAAGGCACACCUCAUCACGUUUGCCUUUUUCUAUAUAUUAGAAACAAGUCCUGAGUACACGCCAGGCGUGGGGAAUUAGGCUCACAUUUUGGAGGGAGUGUCAUGGAAUUUGCGGUCAUAUUUUAAAAUACCACUGGGCUUCCCUGGUGAUGCAGUGGUUAAGAAUCUGCCUGCCAAUGCAGGGGACACGGGUUUGCGCCCUGGUCAGGGAAGAUCCCACAUGCCACGGAGCAACUAAGUCUGUGCACCACAACUACUGAGCCUGCGCUCUAGAGCCUGCGUGCCACAAGAACUGAAGCCUGCGCACCUUGAGCCUGUGCUCCGCAACAAGAGAAGUCACCACAAUGAGAAGCCCGUGCACCGCAACGAAGAGUAGCCCCCACUCUCAGCAACUAGAGAAAGCACUCAUGCAGCAAUGAAGACCCAACGAAGCCAAAAAUAAAUAAAUACAUAAAUAAAUAAAAAUGCCACCAAUUGUUCCCCUCUUUUCUCUAUUAUAAGAAAAGUUUUAGGGACUCCCCUGCGGUCCAGUGAUUAGGACUCCGAGCUUCCACUGCAGGGGGCAUGGGUUCGAUCCCUGGUGGGGGAAGUAAGAUCCUGCAUGCCGCGGGGCACAGCCAAAAUAAACAAACAAACAGAAAAAGCUUUGGACCUCUUUUGAACUUGACAUUGUUAUACACCUGUGUUAAUAUUUCUUCUGGGUCCCAGGGACUUUGCACUUUAAAUUUUGACAGAUUCUGCCCUGUUGCCCUCCUAAGAGGUGGAAUGUGGAAGAGUUCCACUUUUCCAAAAUCUUUCCCCGGCAAAGGUGAUGGACCCGGCCCUGAUUUUUGGCAUACCUAUUGAACAAAUCUUACUGUGACUGUGUCAGGCCUUGGGCUCUGACGGUUUCAUGCUGAAAGGAUGAAAAAGACAUUCCUUACUCUCAAGGAGUUUAAGUCUAGGCUGGGGGAUACACAAUGAACAGGUGCUUUCGAUACAGUGUGUUAGGAGUGAGAAAUGGGUGUUUCAGGGGCUCACGGGGGUGCCAAACCCAGUUUUGGGGAAGGUCAGCUUCAAAGUUGAACUGUUAGGGACUUCCCUGGUGGUUCAGCGGGUAAGACUCGGCACUCCCAAUGAAGGGGGCCCAGGUUCAAUCCCUGGUCAGGGAACUAGAUCCCGCAUGCCGCAAGAAAGAAGCCCUCAUGCUGCAACUAAAAGAUCCUGCAUGCCACAACUCAGACCCGGCAAAGCCAAAAUAAAUAAAGAAAUAAUAAAAUAAAUAAAUAAAUAUUCAAAGUUGAACUGUUAGCCAAACAAACAGGUGGGAGUUGGGGGGGUGCUUUGCAGCAGAGGGAACUGCAGGGAUUUGGGAUCUGAGGUUGUGAAAUUUUUACCAGAUCCAGUACAGAGGCAGAGAAUGCCAUUUCCAUAAGACUGUAAUUCACACUGCUUUGGAGUGGGGACAGUUGGUGAAAUCUGGUGACCUCAGGGCCUCCCUCUUCCUUGUUUAUAGAGGUUUCAGGAUGGCAUUUUAUGGGGAAAACAGAUGUCUUGCAGAUGGGUGUGUAUGAAAGGAAAUGGGAUGGGUGAAGGGAACACCAGCCAUACAUCCGUGAGCUUGGAAAAGUAUCCAGGCAUGUUCUUUUGUUCUCUUCCGGCUGUGGGCCACCUUCACCUCUCUGCCACCUUAUGUCUUGACUUUAACUUAGAUGGAGACCACACUUCCAUUUUGGGCCAAGAAUGGGAUGAGUUGGAGACUCAUAGCUCUUCCUUCAUCAUCAUAAGUUCUGGCUUUCACAUGCCUUCCAGCCCUAAAGACUUUUUUCCCCACUGAUGCUCCCCAAACCUUUAUUCACAUUCAUUGUUCAUUUUAAAGAACUGCAGUGGGGACUUCCCUGGUGGCACAGUGGUUAAGAAUCUGCCUGCCAGUGCAGGGGACACGGGUUCGAUCCCUGGCCCGGGACAAUCCCACAUGCCACGGAGCAACUACUGAGCCUGCAUGCCUAGAGUCUGUGCUCCACAACAAGAGAAGCCACCGCAAUGAGAAGCCCGCGCACUGCAUCGAAGAGCAGCCCCCGCUCGCUGCAACUAGAGAAAGCCAGCACAUGGCAACAAAGACCCAACACAGCCAAAAAUAUUUAAUGAAAGGAAGGAAGGAAGGAAGAAAAAGAACGAACUGCAGUCAUCUAAUGUAUGUCAUCUUUCACCUCAAGGACUUGGAAAAAAAAUUACCUUCUUAUUUUGGGAUUAUAUUCAAUGUAAAAAAAAGUUGCAAAGAUAUUACAGAGAAUUCUCAUACCCCUCAUCCAUUUUCCCCCAAUAUUAGCAUCUUACAUACUACAGUACGUGUCAAAACUAAGAGAUUUAACAUUUGUAUAUUACUAUGAACUCCAGACUUUCUUUGGAUUUCUUUUUCUUUAAUGGUCCUUUCCUCUUCCAAGAUCCAAUCCAGUAUUUCACAUCACAUUUGGGCCCUAAAGUCUUUGAUCCUAGUCUUAACCAGUUGGUCUCCCAACUCUUUUAAUUAAUUAAUUUACUUUUAUUUUUUGCUGUGUUGGGUCUUCGUUUCUGAGCGAGGGCUUUCUCUAGUUGCGGCAAGCAGGGGCCACUCUUCAUCGCGGUGCGCGGGCCUCUCACUAUCGCGGCCUCUCUUGUUGCGGAGCACAGGCUCCAGACGCGCAGGCUCAGCAGCUGUGGCUCACGGGCCCAGUUGCUCCGCGGCAUGUGGGAUCCUCCCAGACCAGGGCUCGAACCCGCGUCCCCUGCAUCGGCAGGCAGAUUCUCAACCACCGCGCCACCAGGGAAGCCUCCACUCCCAGCUCUUUUAAUCGCAUACCCUCAUUGGUUAAAAAAAUUUUGAGGAAGUCCUCACUAAUAUAAUUAUUUAUCAUAUACUGUACUAAUGUAUGAUGUACAUUACAAACCAUAACUAUACAGAAAAGCAGAAAUGUUAAAAAGGUGAGAUAAAAAUCAGACACACAACAUUUAAAAAUAUCUUGUUAUUCGUGAUGGCUUCCUACUAUGGUUAGUUAAAAUCUGAAAUCAUGAUGUAGUCAGAGCAAGUGUUUUUUUUGCAAAAGUGAUUCAGAUUCUUUUUCAAUUUCUUUUCUCUUAUAGGUUAUUACAAGAUAUUAAGUGUAUAGUUCCCUGUGCUAUACAGUAGGUCCUUGUUGGUUAUCUAUUUUAUAUAUAGUAGUGUGUAUAUGUUAAUCUCAACCUCCUAAUUUAUCUGUCUCUCACUCCUUUCCUCUUUGGUAACCAUAAGACUGUUCUCUGUGUCUAUGGGUCAUUUUCUGUUUUGUAAUAAGUUCAUUUGUAUCUUUUUUUUAAGAUUCCACAUAUAAGCAAUAUUGUAUGAUAUUUGUCUUUGUCUGGUUUACUUCACUUAGUAUGAUAACCCUAGGUCCAUCCAUGUUGCUGCAAAUGGCAUUAUUUCAUUCUUUUUUAUGGCUGAGUAUUAAGAGCAAGGUUAAUCAUUAGCAACUGGGCACAGAAGACCACAUUUCAAAGGGUGUCCUUGAUCAUUUUGAUUUUUUUUUUUUAGCUUGACCUUCUAUCAUAUCUGAUUAGGUCUCUUUUUAUCUUGUACGUUGAGGGUAGGAGGGGCAAAAAAUGCUCAUUAAUAGGAAUAAACUUGGGACUUCCCUGGCGGUCCAGUGGUAAGACUUUGCCUUCCAGUGCAGGGGGUGUGGGUUCGAUUCCUGGUCGCGGAGCUAGGAUCCCACACGCCUGGUGGCCAAAACAUAAAACAGAAACAUUAUUGUAACAAAUUCAAUAAAGACUUAAAAAAAAUAGGAAUAAACUUUUCAAUGCUGCCAUCUAAGGUCGGGAAGUUUGCACAUUUACAUCCACUCACAGCUCAUUAGCUUAAACUCAGUCCCAUGGCCACACCUAGCUACAAGGAAAAUUGGGAAAUUAUAGAUCCUCUUUUGGGUCGUGUGCCCAGCUAAAAAUCAUAUAUUUUAGAAAACUGCCCAAACACUUACUUUGUCCUCAUUUUUAUCUCAAAAUCCAAGUCUUUGUUUUCCUAAGGAAAGUUUUCUCUUGAUCAGAUC